rnacentral:rRNA from 1 species
CCUACGUGUGGCAGCAGUGAGGAAUAUUGGUCAAUGUGCGCGAGCCUGAACCAGCCAAGUAGCGUGAAGGAUGACUGCCCUGCGGGUUGUAAACUUCUUUUAUAAAGGAAUAAAGUGAGGCACGUGUGCCUUUUUGUGUGUACUUUAUGAAUAAGGAUCGGCUAACUCCGUGCCAGCAGCCGCGGUAAUACGGGGGAUACGAGCGUUAUCCGGAUUUAGUGGGUUUAAAGGGAGCGUAGAUGGGUUGUUAAGUCAGUUGUGAAAUUUUGCGGCACAACCGUAAAAUUGCAAUUGAUCCUGGCAGUCUUGAGUACAGGUGAGGUAGGCGGAAUGCGUGGUGUAGCGGUGAAAUGCUUAGAUAUCACGAAGAACUCCGAUUGCGAAGGCAGCUUACUAAACUGCCACUGACAUUGAUGCUCGAAAGUGUGGGUAUCAAACAGGAUUAGAUACCCUUGUAGUC